rnacentral:rRNA from 1 species
CCUACGGGCGGCUGCAGUGGGGAAUAUUGGACAAUGGGCGAAAGCCUGAUCCAGCCAUGCCGCGUGAGUGAUGAAGGCCUUCGGGUCGUAAAGCUCUGUGGGGAGGGACGAAAAGCAGGACGCUAAUACCGGCCUGAAUUGACGGUACCUCCUUAGCAAGCACCGGCUAACUCCGUGCCAGCAGCCGCGGUAAUACGGAGGGUGCAAACGUUGCUCGGAAUCAUUGGGCGUAAAGCGCGCGUAGGCGGUCUCUUAAGUCGGAAGUGAAAGCCCUGGGCUCAACCCAGGAAGUGCUUUCGAAACUGAGAGGCUUGAGUAUGGAAGAGGGUCGCGGAAUUCCCGGUGUAGAGGUGAAAUUCGUAGAUAUCGGGAGGAACACCAGUGGCGAAGGCGGCGACCUGGGCCAAUACUGACGCUGAGGUGCGAAAGCGUGGGGAGCAAACAGGAUUAGAUACCCCAGUAGUC